CGGACGGCCGUGAUCGCAUCUCCUCUCUCGUGAUGGCAUCACUGCAGGGGAGGCGCCUUCUUCCAGAAAGUGGCUGCCGGCAAAGCUAUUAGUCAAAAGCACGAUAGGAAAAGGGCGUGGGUCAAGUUGACGUUGGAGAAUAUGCUUUAAACCUAUAAACAAAGGCAAAUGGUGGGAUAGAGUACGGAUCAUUCGCUGGAAUCAAGACGCUUCCAUGAUUGAUUAAUCGAAGAUACACUGAUGUUCCCGACCUUCUUGAGAAGUCAAUCAACGGAUUGGUUCAUCCUUCUCCAGGUACAUUUUCUCGGUGCUCUAUCGCUUGCUAAGUUUUAUGUGUUUUUUUGUUUCAAAAAGAUAUAACUUUAUGCAUUUUGCUUCUCAAAUUAUCUUUGUUCUCCAUCAUUGGUAAUCUCUCUCUUGCUGCUCUUUUACAUGUCUUUUCUUUUUUUUCCUUAUAGCUAGAAUGUACACAUCAUUCAGUUCUCAUUUUAUGUUUCCUGUUUAAGUAUAUUUCUUAACUCAGAUCAACACAUACUCUAGAGAAACACAACAUUAUAGCAUCAGGGUUUUCAAUUCCGUGAUGAGACAUCUUGCUGCUUAGGCUAGAGCUUGGACACACUGAUGCUGCUAGAACUCAAUUGAUCUGAUAUGCUGCUUUACUUUGUUUUAUCUAGGAAUUGGGUAGUUGCUCUUGAUAUGUGAAAAAUAGUUGAAAUGAUUUAAAUUUCCUGAAACCAGUAGUCUGAAGUAUAAUUAUCUGUAGGCUCAGAACAUGUACUUGAUUAGUAGAAUUAUCAACAAUAUCUUCUUAGUUGCAAACUAUGAGUCAUUCAACACGACCAGUAGUGUGCGGGUGUCGACCUCAAUCUGUCUACUCUCACAGUCUAUUGGCCCUGAAGGCUGAGGAAUUGGCUACGUAGGAGACAAGGGUUGUCCUAGCACGAGACAUAAUAUACUAGUAGAGUACCUGGGAAUAAAUGUCCUUGGUGGCUUGGGAUAAGGAUGGGGGGGGAUUGGGAUCUGUGACUUCAAUUGUUGCUAUGGAUGCACCCGAAGGAAGUUGCUUGGGAGUGGGGAGUUUACCGUUCCCAUGUUCUCCAUUCAUUUACUCCACUCCAUGUGCGUGGGUGAUGGCCAGAACAUGCAAGGAGGAUUCACUCACUCACUCACUCUGUACAAUACAAGAGCAAAAGAGAGAGUGAGUGCUCUGUGGAGUCUCUCUCACCUGCCAUGAAUUAUAGAAUACGAAGCUACCUUGUUCGUGAUUGAUUUAAUUUGCUGAUCUUUCUUUUAGAGAGAGAGAGAGAGAGAGAGAGAGAGACAAAACCUGAGCUGCUUUCGUGAAGGUUCAUUCCAUGCUGUGUCCUCAAGUUGGCAUUAUUGGGGUGAAAGCUUUCCACAUGGAAGCGGACUGAAAGAAAACUCCAAAAGUGGUGUUCCUUCUGCUUCACCUCUCUCUUGUCCAACAGAUCUGAACUGCCCUCGCCACCACGACUCCUCUCGGAACUUCCAUAUGCUUCCUUUCUUGCAGUAUACUCCUCCGGUGACUCCUAUGCUUGCAUGAACACAUCAUUUGUGCAGCCUCGUCAACUUACUAAAAUAGCCUUUGCUCCCUUCAUAGAUUUUCUUGGUGUUUCUUUCUUUCUGACUUGAGCACAACGAAGUCAUGCCUCUUCCAGAUUAAGCUUUUCAUGCGUAAAAUGUCACACCACCAUCUGAGGGGUCAUGUCUCUUCUCGAUCUAAGUCAUUCAGAUUAUUGCACUGGGAGCUUUGAGGCAUGAUGGAUGGAGGGGUGGAUUAAUCUUAAGGAGGAGGCUUAGACCCCUCAGACCCAGCAAGAGCCACGUGGGUCGAGCAGCCUUUGCCUACCGCUCCGCCCGGAGGUGCGGAACGCGAAUCAUUGAAACUUUCAACGAGGGAGUGGCACUCUUGUGGUUUUCUUAGAAUUGGAGGGUCAUUGGGUUGUUCGUCACCGCCAUUACUGGCGUUAUCGUAUUAGAUCUCUCUGGGGAUGACGUGGGCGCGCGCAAUUUAAUGCCGCAAUUAAUCCCUUUUAAUGCUUUCUCCGGAGGCAAAUGACAUAUAUAUCCUCGUGCUUCUGUGAUCUGCUGCACCUCCUCCCCUUUCUCUUUCCUCUGUCACCGUCCGUAUUUAACUCCUUCGCCCUUCCCUCUCCCUCCAAAUUUGCUGCUCAGCUUCUUCUCUCUUCUCCUCUUCUCCUCCACCACAAGGAUUCCUCUCCGAGCUGACCACCUUGUAACGUGUGCUUCUCUUUGCCCCUCUUAAGGGAAUCCUGUGGCCUCCACUGCCUUCGUCUUCAGUUCUUGAUCUCCGCAGCCA